UACGUAGGGGGCAAGCGUUGUCCGGAAUUAUUGGGCGUAAAGCGCGUGUAGGCGGUUUGUCGCGUCUGCUGUGAAAUUUCGGGGCUCAACCCCGAACUUGCAGUGGGUACGGGCAGACUAGAGUGUGGUAGGGGAGACUGGAAUUCCUGGUGUAGCGGUGAAAUGCGCAGAUAUCAGGAGGAACACCGAUGGCGAAGGCAGGUCUCUGGGCCAUAACUGACGCUGAGAAGCGAAAGCAUGGGGAGCGAACAGG
rnacentral:rRNA from 1 species